GAUGAAGAACGUAGCGAAAUGCGAUACUUGGUGUGAAUUGCAGAAUCCCGUGAACCAUCGAGUCUUUGAACGCAAGUUGCGCCUCAAGCCAUUAGGUUGAGGGCACGUCUGCCUGGGCGUCACAUAUCGUUGCCUGAUGCCAGUUUCCUCGUGAUGGGUGACUGUGCAGGGCGAAUGAUGGCUUCCCGUGAGCAUUGUUGCCUCAUGGUUGGUUGAAAAUUGAGUCCUUGGUAGGGAGCGCCGUGAUAGAUGGUGGUUGAGAGACGAACGAGACCCAAUCAUGUGAGACCCCUACCGAAUUUGGCCUUCAUGACCCACAUGCGUCUUUGGAACGCUCAUGACGAGACCUCAGGUCAGGCGGGGCUACCCGCUGAGUUUAAGCAUAUCAAUAAGCGGAGGA
rnacentral:misc_RNA from 1 species